rnacentral:rRNA from 1 species
AUGAACGCUAGCUACAGGCUUAACACAUGCAAGUCGAGGGGCAGCAUGGUCUUAGCUUGCUAAGGCCGAUGGCGACCGGCGCACGGGUGAGUAACACGUAUCCAACCUGCCGUCUACUCUUGGACAGCCUUCUGAAAGGAAGAUUAAUACAAGAUGGCAUCAUGAGUCCACAUGUUCACAUGAUUAAAGGUAUUCCGGUAGACGAUGGGGAUGCGUUCCAUUAGAUAGUAGGCGGGGUAACGGCCCACCUAGUCUUCGAUGGAUAGGGGUUCUGAGAGGAAGGUCCCCCACAUUGGAACUGAGACACGGUCCAAACUCCUACGGGAGGCAGCAGUGAGGAAUAUUGGUCAAUGGGCGAGAGCCUGAACCAGCCAAGUAGCGUGAAGGAUGACUGCCCUAUGGGUUGUAAACUUCUUUUAUAAAGGAAUAAAGUCGGGUAUGCAUACCCGUUUGCAUGUACUUUAUGAAUAAGGAUCGGCUAACUCCGUGCCAGCAGCCGCGGUAAUACGGAGGAUCCGAGCGUUAUCCGGAUUUAUUGGGUUUAAAGGGAGCGUAGAUGGAUGUUUAAGUCAGUUGUGAAAGUUUGCGGCUCAACCGUAAAAUUGCAGUUGAUACUGGAUAUCUUGAGUGCAGUUGAGGCAGGCGGAAUUCGUGGUGUAGCGGUGAAAUGCUUAGAUAUCACGAAGAACUCCGAUUGCGAAGGCAGCCUGCUAAGCUGCAACUGACAUUGAGGCUCGAAAGUGUGGGUAUCAAACAGGAUUAGAUACCCUGGUAGUCCACACGGUAAACGAUGAAUACUCGCUGUUUGCGAUAUACAGCAAGCGGCCAAGCGAAAGCGUUAAGUAUUCCACCUGGGGAGUACGCCGGCAACGGUGAAACUCAAAGGAAUUGACGGGGGCCCGCACAAGCGGAGGAACAUGUGGUUUAAUUCGAUGAUACGCGAGGAACCUUACCCGGGCUUAAAUUGCAGAUGAAUUACGGUGAAAGCCGUAAGCCGCAAGGCAUCUGUGAAGGUGCUGCAUGUUUGUCGUCAGCUCGUGCCGUGAGGUGUCGGCUUAAGUGCCAUAACGAGCGCAACCCUUGUUGUCAGUUACUAACAGGUUCCGCUGAGGACUCUGACAAGACUGCCAUCGUAAGAUGUGAGGAAGGUGGGGAUGACGUCAAAUCAGCACGGCCCUUACGUCCGGGGCUACACACGUGUUACAAUGGGGGGGUACAGAGGGCCGCUACCACGCGAGUGGAUGCCAAUCCCAAAAACCUCUCUCAGUUCGGACUGGAGUCUGCAACCCGACUCCACGAAGCUGGAUUCGCUAGUAAUCGCGCAUCAGCCACGGCGCGGUGAAUACGUUCCCGGGCCUUGUACACACCGCCCGUCAAGCCAUGGGAGCCGGGGGUACCUGAAGUGCGUAACCGCGAGGAGCGCCCUAGGGUAAAACUGGUGACUGGGGCU